rnacentral:rRNA from 1 species
AUUGAACGCUGGCGGCAUGCCUUACACAUGCAAGUCGAACGGCAGCACGGGGGCAACCCUGGUGGCGAGUGGCGAACGGGUGAGUAAUGCAUCGGAACGUGCCCAGUAGUGGGGGAUAACUAGUCGAAAGAUUAGCUAAUACCGCAUACGACCUAUGGGUGAAAGCGGGGGAGUUCGCAAGAACCUCGCGCUAUCGGAGCGGCCGAUGUCUGAUUAGCUAGUUGGCGGGGUAAAGCCCACCAAGGCUUCGAUCAGUAGCUGGUCUGAGAGGACGACCAGCCACACUGGGACUGAGACACGGCCCAGACUCCUACGGGAGGCAGCAGUGGGGAAUUUGGUACAAUGGGCGCAAGCCUGAUCCAGCCAUGCCGCGUGCGGGAAG